rnacentral:rRNA from 1 species
AGUCGAACGGCAGCGCGGGGCAACCUGGCGGCGAGUGGCGAACGGGUGAGUAAUAUAUCGGAACGUACCCAAGAGUGGGGGAUAACGUAGCGAAAGUUACGCUAAUACCGCAUACGAUCUAAGGAUGAAAGUGGGGGAUUCGCAAGAACCUCAUGCUCCUGGAGCGGCCGAUAUCUGAUUAGCUAGUUGGUGAGGUAAAGGCUCACCAAGGCGACGAUCAGUAGCUGGUCUGAGAGGACGACCAGCCACACUGGAACUGAGACACGGUCCAGACUCCUACGGGAGGCAGCAGUGGGGAAUUUUGGACAAUGGGCGCAAGCCUGAUCCAGCAAUGCCGCGUGAGUGAAGAAGGCCUUCGGGUUGUAAAGCUCUUUUGUCAGGGAAGAAACGGCGGGAGCUAAUAUCUCUUGCUAAUGACGGUACCUGAAGAAUAAGCACCGGCUAACUACGUGCCAGCAGCCGCGGUAAUACGUAGGGUGCAAGCGUUAAUCGGAAUUACUGGGCGUAAAGCGUGCGCAGGCGGUUUUGUAAGUCUGUCGUGAAAUCCCCGGGCUCAACCUGGGAAUUGCGAUGGAGACUGCAAGGCUAGAAUCUGGCAGAGGGGGGUAGAAUUCCACGUGUAGCAGUGAAAUGCGUAGAGAUGUGGAGGAACACCGAUGGCGAAGGCAGCCCCCUGGGUCAAGAUUGACGCUCAUGCACGAAAGCGUGGGGAGCAAACAGGAUUAGAUACCCUGGUAGUCCACGCCCUAAACGAUGUCUACUAGUUGUCGGGUCUUAAUUGACUUGGUAACGCAGCUAACGCGUGAAGUAGACCGCCUGGGGAGUACGGUCGCAAGAUUAAAACUCAAAGGAAUUGAC